ensembl:lncRNA
AAAAAUGUUCCAGCACUGGUGUCAGCAGAGAUUAAACCAUCCAACACUCAGUUUGGCAGAAGAAAAGAUCAAUCUCUGACAGUGGUUACGGGCAACACGAUUCAGCCGUCCAGAAGUGAUGAGUGCACACUGGGGUGACUGGCACAGGCUGCCCAGAAAAGCUGCAGUGUCUUUGUCCUUCAAAACCCGACCAGAUACAUCCCUGAUCAACCUGCCCCAGCUGACCUUGCUCGGAGCUGGGAAUUUGGACCAGAAGAUCUCCAAAGAUCCCAUCCAUCCUCAAUCUUUGGGUGGUUCUAAGAGUAAGGAGAGCGGAGUACAGGUUUCUUUUGCACUGAGGUGAGCUUUAGUGGUGUAGGGAGGCAGAUGGUGACUGCUCUGUUCAAAGGUGUAAAGAACCUCAUUUCGGAGUUUGAAUUAAGGGAGAGGCCAAGCACUUGCAAGGUACUCCAUUUAUAGGGUCUGUGCAGUCAGAAGGGAGAUAGAGUUUGAAAGUCAUAAUGAAAGUAAAUUAUAGGGCCCACAAGAGGUCACUUAGGAGAGAAAGGGGUUUAAAAAAAAAAAAGGGUCACAGGACAGAAUGCCUGGGAGGAUACAGUAACAGUGCAGUUUCACAUUACAGCAAUAAUUUACUCACAGGGCCAAGUUUAGAAAUAACCCCACUGUCACAUGUUUUAGUUAGCAGUGAAGGUUCUCAUAAAGAGAAGCUGUCAGUAAAGGGAAGAAGCCUAUUCUUCCUCCCCUGGCUUGUCCAGUUCUUUCCCAAUGGCUGCAGCCAUGGAUUAGAUCAUCUCAUUGAAACUGCAGAAUAUUGAACUGCCUCAGGAAAACUAUUGUUACUCUGUUAGUGCUGUUCAGUGAAUUGGAUGCAUCCUGAGGAUAUUCAGUCGGUAGGGUCAGUGCAAGUGAGGGGAAGGGGAAACAUAGCUGUGAGAGGUGAAAGAGGCAAGAUCAUCCACUUUGGCCACACGCUCAAUUGGAACCAUUUAUUAGACAUGAAAAAGAAAAUGUUCUUUGAAAUACUCUUGACUAUGAGUGAGUGCCUGGUAUGAUCCGGCAGCGUGGCUGCAGUGCUGCUGCAUACCCUACAGCGGUGUGCUCUGCUCCAUGCUGCAACAGUGCCUACUCACACUGGAGCUUCUUUGAAAACCCCAGGCAGCAAAAGGUUCAAAACUACGUUCAAACUGUUGCAAAGUUCAACCUUGCCUUAUAAAAAUUCACACUACAACUAAAAACACUGGUGUAUGAAUUUAAUACAAGUCAGUGAAAAAAAGCUAUCAAUAUCUCCAAAAUGUGUCUCAAAAUCAUGGCACCAUACAGCAUUUUCUCACCAGAACCUGCAAUGACAGGUGAAGCAACAGCUUAUAAAUCUGUACUUGAAUUCUAGUAUUAAUUGCACUUUUUAACAGUAUGCAGAGCAUAUUUUAAAAGAACUCUUAUGUGAGCCUCUCUAGAGGGAUCUUAUUGUGAAACUGAUGAUACAGUGAAGAAAUACCAGGAUUUUCUUGUGUUUGGCAGACUACCCAUAUUACCUUCAUUUCUAGUACUGUAAUAGUAACAGAAACAAAUAAACAAAAAUAAUAAGCAUAAGAACAACCAUUGCAAUUCAGUGACUUCCUACUAAACUAAGCUGAAAAUUCUUCAGAGGUCUCACCUACUAAACAGAUAUUUUUAUAUACUUAGCAGCUUCCUAAGUUACACUGCAGCCUGACCACGUGAGACAGGAAAGCAGUUCCAGACAUUUGAAGGUACUCUCCUGAAAUGCAUACAUUGAAAACAAAUGGUAAACAAUCUCUUCCAAAACUAAGUACAGGAAACAAUCACACUCAGGACACAUUUCAGAGAAGUGUAUUUUCAGACAGUGUGGUGGGGCCCUAAGUAAAACAAAUAUGCACUACCUGGCUGCAUUUAACCGCUGUACUCAAAGCUGUAAGACAACCAGCUUUACUGAGUGGUGGAAAGAACAAAAUUCCAAUGCAUCUACAGAAGGAUUUCCAGUUAGUUCCCCGAGAACUCUGUAGUUGGCCAACCUACAAAGAGAAAUUAAAACAUAUCUGAUAAAGAACUGUGGAAAAUUCUUUGCUAAAUGUAGUUAAGUAAUAUCUAUUUAACUAAAUUGGACAGCAUUCUGUAAAAAGCUUAAACAAUCACUGACAUCGGAAGAUCAGAAUGUUUCCUGCUCUAAAAUAUUAUGGGAUUUUCAGCAACUCACAGUUUCAAAACACGUCAACUGUGGGCUGCAAAGCCAAAAACACAUUUAUAUGUACGUUGCUCUGAAAGUAAUGCCUCCCAUUUAUCUCCAUGGAAACAACAACAGAGCACAAUAACACUGUUUGAUAGAGCAAAUUCGCAGCUACAGAGCACUACGGUCACCACCAUCAGCUGUGCAUUUUCAUCAGUGAUAAACAAGCCUGCAUGUUGUGCUUGUAAAAAUUUGCACCAGUAGAGUUGAUCCACUGUCAUCACUGCACCACACACCACUUAAUUGUGCUCAGAUGCACUGUUUGGUCUCCAUAAAUGUUCAGCAAGUGCCCAUGGAUGUCAAUGGGUGUCAUUUUUUCUGAUUGACAAAGUUCACUGACACCCCUUAGCUUCAUACACACUUCCAUGUCAGACGCCACUUUGUCAGACUGCCCCUCUGCUGCCACCUGUCACACAGCAGCAAAAUGCAAUGGAAUUGUGGUGAGAAGGUUCAACCUCUACUGCCAUACCACCAACAUCCAACUCUGCUGUUGUGGGCAAACACCAUAAUACAGGAGGCAUUACUUUUGGAGCAGACCCCAUACAUUUCAUAGGUAGUGUAUCUUAAAGUCAUUUAUGUCUUAAGGUGAUCAGCCUGCAUAGAAAUUAGUAACCGUUAGUGGAAAUGUUGAUUGCGACUCCUUAUUCCUUGAGAUCAUUAUUUGUAGAAUAAGAAGAAUUUGAAGACAUUUUGAAAAUCCCUAAUAUUGGAGUACACACACAUGCACACACACACUUCUUCAGACAAGUCUACAUAUUCACAGAGACACUGCUUUAAAUGAAAAUGAGACCUGAGCCUUCAACAUAAUAGUCUAUUUCGUGAAACUGCUGUCGUAUCAAAAAAGUAAGACUGUAUUUUUGUUGGGACAAAAACAUCUGGAUUACUCCUCAAGUUAAUGUCACCUUAAAGUUAAUGACACCUGAAAUCUGAGCACAGUCUAAGAACAGCAAUGAAAGUAAAAGGAUGCCAUGCUCCCAGAGCAAGUCUGUUUGCCAGCUAUGACAAACUUAGAAAGGUCAGCUGGCUGGAAAAAUGCUUUCUAAGUAGUUGUCAAACUUAGCUAGACAGGAUUGUUCGUGGUAUGCAAUUCUAGGGCCUAAAGAUCUUGUUUCAGAAGCUGUAAACAUGAAAAACACGGAGUUACAUCAAUGGGAAUCGAAGGAAAUUUGUUGUGAUGACAAUUCAAAAUCUGCAAUGGUUUGGAAAUAAGGCUGAAAGCACCAAAUAGAGCCCCUGCAGGACUCCUUUAGGAAAGAAGAAGGAUCAUAUCCAAGGUGGAAAUAAAGUGAGGUAGCUGUUUUCUUUAGCACUCUUAUUCCCCAGAUUGUUGAGCAUCAGGAUGUUAAUGCUGUAAUCAGGAGCUAACUGGAAGAAGCAGAUUAUAGAGCCACAGAUUUUGAAAAUGAAGGACCGAAGCUGCAGUACAUGGCUGAGCUCUCUGCUCUUAAAACAUGAGAAAAUGUUUGCUUCCAUAAAAUAUAAGUAUUCUAAUACAUUAUUGUUAGCCAAAGCAUAAAUUGAUAACAACCUUACUGCUUCUUUGAUUUCAGAGAGAUGACGUAGUAAACUAUUCAGAAGGGUGCUCUUCGUAGCAAUGUAUUGCCUAUGUAUGAGCUAUACAUUAAAAAAAUUGUGUUUUAAUAAGAAGAAAUCAAGUUAACCAUAGUUAACAUUAUCAAGUUAACAUUAAUUAACAGGAGAUACGAGAGAAAUAGUAUUAUCAAUAUCAAUUUGUUGUUACUUGUGUGAAAUUGAUUAGCAUGUUUCACUGAGGCAAAGCAGCGUACUCCAUGCCCUAGAAAAAGCAUGUGAAUAACAGGAAGAUGUUUUUACAAGUUAUGAGUUUGAUAAAAGCAUAUUUGUGCUGCUGUGUCACACAUUUUAAACACGGAACUGAAGUCUGCUCAGUAAUAUCUUAAUGCCAUCUAUUCUAAAUAGAGAACGACACAUCCUAAGAAAAUGAUAUGGGAAGGCAUGACAAAUAAUUCUACAUAGGCAAGGUGCUUGUUUCAGAUCACUUGACUUUGGGAAUGCAUAACUGUAUUCAGGGAUACCACACGUGUAGUUCUGAUCUUCGGUACUUGUUAGAAAUGAGUCUAUGCCGUGCUGCAUUUAAAUCUAAAUUGUUAAACAGAUCCACACCCUAUACUUUGGUAAGAAGGUGCCCUCAUUUAUGUGCUUAACUACUUUAAUGCAAAUAAGCUAAAUUGCAGUAAACACUUACCUGCUAGUGCACACUCACACAUUCUAGGAGGGUGCAUUCCUUUGUAUUGGUAGAUAUAGAAAGGAGUAUUUGUGAGUGCAGAGAAAGACAAACUGAUUUGCUAUGUGCUUCCAUGGGCUUUGACCCAAAGAUCCCUUGGCUCAAGGCAGCUGACAGCUUAAUAAUUUCCUCUGGAAAGUAAGUAUCUCAGAAGAUGCCCAUCUCGCCUGGGCUGUCAGUGUGAAAGCCCCAUUGAAAACAAGGGUUAUCUUUUCCUACGGUGAACCUGGGUUUAUAUAUUCAGUCAAAAGAAGAAAAGAUUGAAAAGAUUUACAAUCAAGUGUAACAAUAAGUGGAGUUCAAUCUUUGUCGUUAUGAAAGGCCAGCAGAGAUUGAUUGGGAACAGCCAGCUCUUUCACAAGGAGUUUGCACUGUGAUUGUAUUUCAGCAAAUAAAGAAUUGCAUGACCUUCCCUUUCCAGGGUGCAAGAGGUUUGGUCGGCUGCCUGAAAGGAACCCAGGGUGCUGAAAGAAAUAGCUUAAAAACAAAGUCAGUAAUUAAAAAGUCUAAAGAUAAGAUUGUAGGUGAAAAAAAAAACAACCCCAAGAGUGUGGCAUUCCUUGAAGCACAAGCUGAGGUGGAACAGUUAAAAGUCUGUUUCAGGGACACGUAAAACAGUGACAGAAGUUUAAGUGUUUAGCUGUGUCACUGGAUCUGGAGUUCUUGAGUUAAUUAUCAAGAGAAGUUUCAACUUAAUUCAUAUGCUGCAGUUAUCCAGACAAUACUGUUCUUCAGAAAAAGCUACUUUAAAAAAUAUUCAAGUAGUGUUUUGUGAAGCCCCUGGGAAAGUAUUCACACAACUUCACCUGGAGUAAGAACUCAUUCUAUAGUAUAAUGGCUCUUGUACAAGUUCAGAUGCACUCUCAUUACUUCAAAAGCCAAAUUGGACAAUUACUUCAGUUCCUCAUAGCUGACUUCCUCAGUAAAAAAAUUAGUGUGACAGUUUUUCCACCAAACUGUAUCACCUUUGACUUUUUAAGCCCUAAGUCCCCAAUACACUUCCUUUCCAAAUUGCUUCCCUUUUAGCAAGGCAGAGAUCUACCUAGUUAGAUAGUAGAUUAAAAAAAAAUAAACAUGGAAGAUUCUUGAAUAACAUACAAACCUUAAUUAUCACAUCUGGUCUUUCAGAAAUCCCGUCCUUUUCACUGAUGGCAUAUGAUGACAGAGAACAGUCUGUUCUGGAGUAGAUUCUGUGGAAGUCUGGAUGAAACAACUUCUAGAGUAACUUACUUGCUGGAAAAUAUGAUUUCAAGUGACUCCUGCCUUUCAAGUUUGAUAGGAUUGAUUCUGUGAGAACGCCUGGCUUCAUUUAUGUAAUUAUCUUCAUUAAUGCCAAGAAGAUUCAAUCAGAAUAUUCAACACAUAGCGACCAAACCCACGAGGGAACAGAAGUACGAGCACCAGCGAUGCAGUAUCUUCAGUAACCAUGCUGCUUUGGGUUCAGGCUUACACCCACCCACAUAUGUUGUAUUAUACCAUUGCAUAACCAGAGAUCUCAGGAGCCUGAAUUCUCAGUCUCUGUGGCUGCACACUGCAAUUGCUGUGCCAAUACGAAAAUAGUGGUAUCAUAUGCUGAUGCACCAUCCCGUCAAAGUGCUACUAGC